rnacentral:rRNA from 1 species
CCUACGGGUGGCAGCAGUGAGGAAUAUUGGUCAAUGGGCGCUAGCCUGAACCAGCCAAGUAGCGUGAAGGAUGACUGCCCUAUGGGUUGUAAACUUCUUUUAUAUGGGAAUAAAGUGCAGUAUGUAUACUGCUUUGCAUGUACCUUAUGAAUAAGGAUCGGCUAACUCCGUGCCAGCAGCCGCGGUAAUACGGAGGAUCCGAGCGUUAUCCGGAUUUAUUGGGUUUAAAGGGAGCGUAGGAGGGUUGUUAAGUCAGGUGUGAAAGUUUGCGGCUCAACCGUAAAAUUGAAGUUGAUACUGGCAUCCUGGAGGACAGUAGAGGUAGGGGGAAUUCGUGGUGUAGCGGUGAAAGGCUUAGAUAUCACGAAGAACUCCGAUGGAGAGGGCAGCCUGUGGGACUGUAACUGACGCUGAUGCUCGAAAGUGUGGGUAUAAAACAGGAUUAGAUACCCUAGUAGUG